ensembl:snoRNA SNORD30 Small nucleolar RNA SNORD30
GCACGUGAUGAUUUUCAUUAUGGAAUCUCGUUCGUCUGAACUCCUGUUGAGACAAAUUUAAAUCUGAUGCUU